CCUACGGGCGGCAGCAGUGAGGAAUAUUGGUCAAUGGACGAAAGUCUGAACCAGCCAAGUAGCGUGAAGGAUGACUGCCCUACGGGUUGUAAACUUCUUUUAUAUGGGAAUAAAAUGUUCCACGUGUGGGAGUUUGUAUGUACCAUAUGAAUAAGGAUCGGCUAACUCCGUGCCAGCAGCCGCGGUAAUACGGAGGAUCCGAGCGUUAUCCGGAUUUAUUUGGUUUAAAGGGAGCGUAGGGGGGUUGUUAAGUCAGGUGUGAAAGUUUGCGGCUCAACCGUAAAAUUGAAGGUAAAACUGGCAGUCUUGAGUACAUGAGAGGUAGGCGGAAUUCGUGGUGUAGCGGUGAAAUGCUUAGAUAUCACGAAGAACUCCGAUUGCGAAGGCAGCUUACUGGACUGCAACUGACACUGAGGCUCGAAAGUGCGGGUAUCAAACAGGAUUAGAUACCCCGGUAGUC
rnacentral:rRNA from 1 species